UACGUAGGGGGCAAGCGUUGUCCGGAAUCAUUGGGCGUAAAGAGCGUGUAGGCGGCCAGAAAAGUCCGCUGUGAAAACUCGAGGCUCAACUUCGAGCUGUCGGUGGAAACUUUCUGGCUAGAGUCCGGAAGAGGAGAAUGGAAUUCCUGGUGUAGCGGUGAAAUGCGCAGAUAUCAGGAAGAACACCCCGUGGCGAAGGCGGUUCUCUGGGGACGGUACUGACGCUGAGACGCGAAAGCGUGGGGAGCGAACAGG
rnacentral:rRNA from 1 species